GGAUGGUGACAGGUUCCAGUGUCUGGUGUUCCUGAUGCUUUAUUGAUGCCCUUUAUGAUGCAAGAAUGGUGUUUGCGCUCACCCGACAUGAAUGGCAAACCUCGAAUGGUAAGAUUCUUUACCAGGUUGAUAAAACAUGAGUAAAACAUGAAAUAAGAAACCAAGGUAAUUUUUUCGAAUUGUUAUUGGACCCAGCUCCAAUUUCUUCAAAUGGUUGUGUGAUUUGCUUGACUCAUGUGAUAAUGCAUAAUGUGGUUGUGGUGCAUUUCUCAGCUGGCUACAUGGAUGCAAGCAUAAUAAGAGACUGCUGAAAGGCUGAUCUCAUAGCUUUGCUACUCAAGAUUCAUUCGUCCAAUUUUGGAUCCGUUGUGAUGCAGCGGUGGUCGGCGUCUUGGGACCACUGAUGUACAGUUCAUGUACAUUGCUAUAUCCUUUUCAAGAAUUUGAUUAAGAAACCUAUGAAUGGACCCGUGAUGUAACUUCACCUCUGGUACUUUCAUUGAUUACGAAUAUUUCUGAAAACAUGAAUUCCUCUGUUUUAUUGGUUACCACAUUUGUGGUAUUAUUCCCAAGGGUAUGUUCUAAUCACCUGCAUUUCUAAACCAGCAUAUCUAAGAGCUGAAGUACAUUCUGCUUGUAUUUUUGCAGAAGCGCAUUGUAUUCAAGCCCUUGUCAAAAGUAUUCACAACUCAUAGCAUGUGCAGUCUUUAGCACUUCGAGCUUGCCGCUGAUCACAUCCCACAUUGCGGUUUCAGCAUUUGUCAAUAAAAUUACAUUUGAUCGGGGGCAAGAAAGGUGCAUGGUAUCAUGAAGAGGGCAUGCUUUUGUGUGGGGGUAAGACCUGAGUUGAUCAUGGCUGAUGAAUAUUCAUUUUAAUUGUGCUUGAUGGGUCUGCAAUUUUUAGUUGCAGAGAAGUGCCGUAGUUGACAAGGCAUAUGUUUUUGGUGCUUGACUCUUUUGGUCCUGGUCAGAACUGAUGGUGCUUGUUCUGUCCUUGUUUUUGUGGUAAAAGCGAUACGUAGCUUGGUUUAAUGGCUUGAUCUCCUUUUUGUUGUUUAUGUUGGUGGAACUGAUUAUUUAAAAAACGAAAUACCUUAGUAAGAAUCCGAGGUCUGCUUUUCCUUGCUUAUGUUGAUAUCCAGUCUCUUGUCAUCCUGCCUU